rnacentral:rRNA from 1 species
AACGAACGCUGGCGGCAUGCCUAACACAUGCAGGUCGAACGAGAUCUUCGGGUCUAGUGGCGCACGGGUGCGUAACGCGUGGGAAUCUGCCCUAUGGUUCGGAAUAACAGUUGGAAACGACUGCUAAUACCGGAUGAUGACGAAAGUCCAAAGAUUUAUCGCCAGAGGAUGAGCCCGCGUAGGAUUAGCUAGUUGGUGUGGUAAAGGCGCACCAAGGCGGCGAUCCUUAGCUGGUCUGAGAGGAUGAUCAGCCACACUGGGACUGAGACACGGCCCAGACUCCUACGGGAGGCAGCAGUGGGGAAUAUUGGACAAUGGACGAAAGCCUGAUCCAGCAAUGCCGCGUGAGUGAUGAAGGCCUUAGGGUUGUAAAGCUCUUUUACCCGGGAUGAUAAUGACAGUACCGGGAGAAUAAGCUCCGGCUAACUCCGUGCCAGCCGCCGCGGUAA